rnacentral:rRNA from 1 species
UACAGAGGGUGCGAGCGUUAAUCGGAAUUACUGGGCGUAAAGCGCGCGUAGGCGGCUUUGCAAGUCAAGUGUGAAAUCCCCAGGCUUAACCUGGGAACUGCAUUCGAGACUGCAUAGCUAGAGUAUGGGAGAGGGAAGUGGAAUUUCAGGUGUAGCGGUGAAAUGCGUAGAUAUCUGAAGGAACAUCAGUGGCGAAAGCGACUUCCUGGACCAAUACUGACGCUCAUGUGCGAAAGCGUGGGGAGCAAACAGG